CUAUAACAGCAGCUCCAACAACAACAUCUGCUCCCACAACUACCACCACAGCUACAACUACCACAGUAGUGCUCACAACAACAUCUGCUCCAACAACUACCACAGCAGCUCCAACAACAACAUCUCCUUCCACAACUACCACCACAGCUACAACUACCACAGUAGGGCCCACAACAACAUCUGCUCCAACAACUGCCACAGCAGCUCCAACAACAACAUCCGCUCCCACAACUACCGCCACAGCUACAACUACCACAGUAGUACCAACAACAACGUCUGCUCCCACAACUACCACCACAGCUACAACUACCACAGUAGUACCCACAACAACAUCUGCUCCAACAACUACCACAGCAGCUCCAACAACAACAUCUCCUUCCACAAGUACCACCACAGCUACAACUACCACAGUAGUGCCCACAACAACAUCUGCUCCAACAACUACCACAGCAGCUCCAACAACAACAUCCGCUCCCACAACUACCGCCACAGCAAUAACUACCACAGUAGUACCCACAACAACAUCUGCUCCAACAACUAACACAGCAGCUCCAACAACAAAAUCCGCUCCCACAACUACCGUCACAGCUACAACUACCACAGCAGCUCCAACAACAACAUCCGCUCCCACAACUACCGCCACAGCUACAACUACCACAGUAGUGCCCACAACAACAUCUGCUCCAACAACUGCCACAGCAUCUCCAACAACAACAUCCGCUCCCACAACUACCGCCACAGCUACAACUACCACAGUAGUACCAACAACAACGUCUGCUCCCACAACUACCACCACAGCUACAACUACCACAGUAGUGCCCACAACAACAACUGCUCCAACAACUGCCACAGCAGCUCCAACAACAACAUCCGCUCCCACAACUACCGCCACAGCUACAACUACCACAGUAGUGCCCACAACAACAUCUGCUCCAACAACUACCACAGCAGCUCCAACAACAACAUCCGCUCCCACAACUACCGCCACAGCUACAACUACCACAGUAGUACCAACAACAACGUCUGCUCCCACAACUACCACAGCAGCUCCAACAACAACAUCCGCUUCCACAACUACCGCCACAGCUACAACUACCACAGUAGUGCCCACAACAACAUCUGCUCCAACAACUACCACAGCAGCUCCAACAACAACAUCCGCUCCCACAACUACCGCCACAGCUACAACUACCACAGUAGUACCAACAACAACAUCUGCUCCCACAACUACCACCACAGCUACAACUACUAUAGUAGUACCCACAACAACAUCUGCUCCAACAACUACCACAGCAGUUCCAACAAAUACCACAGCACCUCCAACAACCGCUCUAAGUAGUCCCACACCUGCUCUAACUAACACAACAACAGGAAAAACAACCACAUCUGCAGCCACAACCACCGGACCUCUGACAAUUAGAUAUGUUGUUUUCAGAUCCAUUCAAAGCAAUUUUACAGCAGACUUGUUGAAUUCAUCAUCUGAAGUUUUUCAAACUCGAUCUUCAUCAAUAAAGGUGCAGAUUGAACCUGCUUACAAAAACUCGUUCCCUUCUUCCUUUGUCUCCUUGGCUGUUGUGAGCUUCAGGCAAGGAUCAGUCAUCAACACCAUAGAACUUAAGUUUGUAAACUCAUCUGCUCCAAAUUACACUGAAAUUAGAAAUGUUUUGAUCAGUACAGCAUCAAACGUGACAGGCUUUGACAUCGAAAGGGCCUCCAUCACUGUCAGUGCCACAUUGAUCCCAACAACAAACACAACAACAUCAGGGACUACAGCUACUCCAACAACUAUCGCAAUUACAAAAGCUCCGACUGCACCUGUCCAAGUUUUUCUGUUUCUACAGUUCCUUGAACCAUAUGUACCUGAACUCACAGACCCCACCAGCAGUGUAUAUCAAGAUCGCAAAAUACGAGUUGAAGAGACGUGUGAUAGAAUCUACAAAUCAAAAUUUAUUUUCUUCAUCCGUGCCAUUGUCAUUCGGUUCAGUCUUUUUAGAGUCCAAACACGAGUGGAUAGAACUGAGACACAGGUGGAGCUUGUGUUCAAUCAAACAGCACCCAAUGCACAAGUCCCAAAUAAUACUACUAUUAUUCAAACUAUGAAAAAGGCUAUUAACAGUUCCAGCAGCAAUUUCAGUAUUGCCAUAGUUCCUGACACUAUAUCAGUAACUUCUGUCAGUGUUACACCUGCUACACCAACUCCUAAUUGCACUAUGACAUCAACUGCUACCCCUUCAAAACCAGCAUCAAUAACUGUGACAACUACGACCAUAAUUUCUACGACAACAGAAAAAACUAUUCAAACAACAACUGCAGUGACCGUGAAAUCUGCUACAACUAAUACUUCAGCAACAACAGUACUUGAACCAGCCACUUUUGUGGCUACUAUGGCACAGGCUCCUACAGCAACCACCAUGGUGUCAUACACAUCUACAACAACAAUAGUGGAAAGUGCAAGACUUCCUUCUUCAGCAGCUACUGCAGAAACAACAAUCACUGUGAGAACGACAACAACUAUUGAAGCACGUAUAUCUGGAAACACAUCUUCAGGAGGAUUGAGCCACAAGACAAGUCUCUACACUGCUUCCUGCCUCAUGUUGUUGACAUGGCUAUUUGCAAACCAUCAAUAGCUAAUUUACAUUUGAAAUACAAGUGCAGGAAAACAAUUACAUUUAUUCCAUUGUUAUCAAAAAUGCAGCAUCCUUGAAUGGCUUAACUGUUGCGUGAAACAUCAUGAAAAUCUAGCCUUGCAUUAACAGACACAGUGGUAUAUCUGGGGGGCAUUUCUGUCUUUUAUUCCCGUAUUUUAAAAUUACCAUUACCUAUGUUUAAGUGCAGUUCAUCUUUGUUUUGGAAAAUGUAAACUGUGAUGCUUAUGAAACAGACAGUUGUUACUCUAACUAAUAAAAGUCCUUCUCUCAUUUGAUGAACCAAAAGAUGAUUUAAAUUAGACAGCAUUCAAAAACGUCGUUAUUUUCACCGUAAAUGCUUAGUUACAGUAUAUUAAAAUUAAUGGAGAGUUUUCCCCCAACUGAUGUAUUAAAAGCUACCAUGGGAUGACUCUUACGGCACACAAAAAUGAAAUUUCCUGCUCCUCACUUCAUAGAAAAAUAAUCACCAAAGCAAUGGAGGUCUUAUCUUUGUAAAUUCACGUCUGACAAGUUGUUAUCAUAGCAUAGUGAUAUUUGACUCCUGUCUGGGCCUUGACUCCCAUGUAAAAUCUUUGUGUCGUUCCUGUUUCUAUCAUUUAAGAAACAUCUUUAAACUGCGACAUGUGGUCUAUUCAGCUGAACUGGAAAAACUCAUUCAUGCAUUUGUGUCAUCACGCUUAGAUUACUGUAAGUCCCUGUUUACUACCUUGGAUAUCUCUCUCUCGCCUCCAGGCAAUACAAAACGCAGCAGCCAGACAAACUCGUUCUAUCAAGCGUGUUCACAUUACUCCGGUCUUAUAUUCUUUACAUUGGCUUCCAAUAGAGUUUAGAAUUCGCUUUAAAAUUCUUGUUUUAACAUACAGAGCACUAAAUGGCCAGGCCCCAGAUUAUUUAUCCAAGCUUCUUAAAAAAAUAAAGUAAAAUAAAAAUAAAAAUACACUGCUGCUCGUCAUCUCCGCUCACAGACUCAGAGUCUGUUGGUUGUUCCCCGUACACGAAUGAAGACAAAAGGGGACAGAGCCUUUCAGUCUGUUGCACCAAGGCUGUGGAAUAGUUUACCGCUACAAUUAUGUUUGCUUGACUCUGUGGAUUGUUUUAAAAAGCAGUUAAAAACAUUUAUGUUCAAACAAGCCUUUUGCUGAUCUAUGUAUUUUAUAUUCUUUACAUUCUUUACAUUUGAUCUUUUACAUUGUGUAUAAUGUCUAUUGAUUGUAUUGUUUAUUUUAAUAUUUGUGUACAGCACUUUGUGACUGCCUGUCUGUGAAAAGCGCUUAAUAAAUAAACUUUACUUACUUACUACUUACUUACAUA
ensembl:lncRNA